rnacentral:rRNA from 1 species
CUACGGGUCGCUGCAGUGAGGAAUAUUGCACAAUGGGGGGAACCCUGAUGCAGCAACGCCGCGUGGAGGAUGACGCAUUUCGGUGUGUAAACUCCUUUUAUAUGUCAAGAAAAUGACGGUAGCAUAUGAAUAAGCACCGGCUAACUCCGUGCCAGCAGCCGCGGUAAUACGGAGGGUGCAAGCGUUACUCGGAAUCACUGGGCGUAAAGGACGCGUAGGCGGGUUGGAAAGUCAGAUGUGAAAUCCUACAGCUUAACUGUAGAACUGCACUUGAAACUUCUAAUCUAGAGUAUGGGAGGGGGAGAUGGAAUUUGUGGUGUAGGGGUAAAAUCCGUAGAUAUCACUAGGAAUACCUAAAGCGAAGGCGAUCUCCUGGAACAUUACUGACGCUAAGGCGUGAAAGCGUGGGGAGCAAACAGGAUUAGAUACCCGGGUAGUC